CCACGAGCUGGGUGGGGGAGGGGAAGCCCCCAUGGCCUGAGAAAGUUGGAUUUACAAUCUUGUCAAAGAAGAGCAUCACCUUUUUAAGGACUCAUUUCUGUGGGGCUCAGGAUGCCUGAAUGAUUCCAGCUGGAAUGAGUUUGUUUACACCAAUCCUGCCAAACAGGCAAUCAACAGCUCACCAUUGAAACCAGCCAUGCAGCAGAAAUGUGUUCAGCUGCUGCUUCCUACCAGCUUCCUACUGCUUAGAGCAUCCAGCAGCCAAAGACAACCAGCAUAAAAAUAAUUACAUCUGAGUAUGUGAUGAGCCCCACUCAAAAAGCACCUGGGAUAAUUGACAGAAAGAAGAAAAAAUGUUGAAGAAAAGCUGUCAGACCAUUAAGUUUCAGUGUUAAAGACUUAAUAAAUAAUGUAUCUUUAUACCAUC